UCACCGCCACCAACCGUGAACCGUCUCGUCUCCCUCCUCCACCCCACCUCACCGCCGGCCCUUCCCCCAACCUCCCACCUCUAAACCCCAAUGGCUACCGGAUCCGCCGCACCCCCACCUACCCAUCCCUCUGGCGUCCAAUCUCACUCUUCACGCGGCUCCUCGUUGCGCCACCUACGGUUGCUAAUUCAGGCGAUGUUCGGCUAAUCCUGCCACUAUGAAGCACAUCCCGAGGUCCUCUCGCACCGCGGCGCCCUCCCAUCCGCUAGAUCCGGUGCUUGCGGCCACCAAAUCCCACCCUUGACCCUCCCCCCAUGGCUAGGGUUUCGAGCUUCGGCUCCGGUGCCGGUGGCCAUGUCAUCCUCGUCUCAUCCGACGUGCAGGGUGGAACGGCCACUGGAUAGCCUUGCUGCUACUUGGGACGAAGCAGCCAUGGAGCCUACUCCUCCUAGGCGGUUCUGUAAGAGGAGUCAUUGGAAUCGUUUUUUCUGCUAGAGGAGCCAGUCCCGAAUCAACAUCAGAACAUUUCGAAGUUAUUCAUUUGAGGUGAUGUUUUCUUCUUCCAUGCCUGCCUUUUCUGUAGUAUAUGUCCACAUAAAGGAAACCAAAAUGCAGUUUUCAAAUACUGAUAUGUUAUAUUUUUAUUCAUCAACACCAAAUAAUUUACAGUGGUAACUAUUCCAAUAUCUGUGCGAAAUUUUGUGUGGUUAAUUGUAGUAGAAGAUGCUAAUACCAGGAGAAUUUUGUUUAGCAAAGAUAGACGUACACAUUCUAAAUUCAGAUAGUUAAGAAGGGUCCUAAGCCAUAGAAUGCAGAAGUAAGUUAUCAAAUACUCCCUCUAUAUCAUAAUAUUUGUAGUUUGGGAAUAGUUGCAAAUCAUGAAUAUUAAGAGCAUCAUAUUAGCUUAGAGUGUACGUAGAGUACUUUUCAGAUUAACGUGUUGGUGUUGUCUCUCUCAAAAAAAGGCUGACAGUUGAUGCCAGCGAUUUCUUCUUCUUUAGUGAAUCAUGUUUUUCUAAGUGAGUAUUUAAAGGAAACCUCAAAGACUUUAUAUCUCUAUGGAUUUGAUAACCUCACGCCACUGG